rnacentral:rRNA from 1 species
AGUAUUGCACAAUGGGCGCAAGCCUGAUGCAGCAACGCCGCGUGAGUGAAGAAGUAUUUCGGUUUGUAAAGCUCUAUCGAUGGGGAAUAAAAUGAAGGUACCCAAGUAAGAAGCCCCGGCUUACUACGUGCCAGCAGCCGCGGUAAUACGUAGGGGGCAAGCGUUAUCCGGAUUUACUGGGUGUAAAGGGAGCGUAGACGGAAUAGCAAGUUUGGAGUGAAAUACCUGGGCUUAACCCAGGAAUUGCUUUGAAAACUGUUAAACUAGAGUACUGGAGGGGUAUGGGGAAUUCCUAGUGUAGUGGUAAAAUGCGUAGAUAUUAGGAGGAACACCGGAGGCGAAGGCGCCAUACUGGACAGAUACUGACGUUGAGGCUCGAAAGCGUGGGGAGCAAACA